UACGAAGGGGGCUAGCGUUGCUCGGAAUUACUGGGCGUAAAGGGCGCGUAGGCGGCACUGUUAGUCAGGCGUGAAAGUCCUGGGCUCAACCUGGGAACUGCGCUUGAUACGGCAGAGCUAGAGGAUGGAAGAGGCUCGCGGAAUUCCCAGUGUAGAGGUGAAAUUCGUAGAUAUCAUUUGGAACGCCAAUGGUGAAAACAGGUAGCUGGGAGUGUGCUGACACUGAGACACGAAAGCCAGGGGAGCAAACGGG
rnacentral:rRNA from 1 species